AUGAGGAUGUCAAAAAAAAAAAAAAAAAAAGAUGAGGAUGUCAUGAGUAAUACAUUUAUUCGUCAAAGAUGCAUCUACUCCGAAGUGAUCCUUGGGCCUAUCACCAGUGCCACAACUUUUAAUAAAGAAGAUCAACUUUCAAACAAAGUUGAAACAAACAAACCCUCCUGUUUGAAGUUGCUUAAUAAAAAUUCCUCUAAAUACCAAUCCCAGCAAAGAAAACAGAGAGGACAACCUGAGGGAAUGGGGAUCAUUUCUCCCUGAGCAGUGACUAAGUUGCUGAGUGUCAAAAUGAGAAGCCAAGAAAACACCAGGUGAAGAAAGAAUCCUGGUUGGUAACGCUCACAUCGAUGUGGCUAAAAAGGCAGUGUGGUCCUGAAUAUUUGGCCUUCAUUUGGAAUUUCCUUGUUUUGGUGAAUUUAAGUCCUUAGCAUUAAUGUCAUGCAGUUAUUUUUGUAUGGUUUAUUUUCUUUUUCUUUUGGUCAUUCAAUAUUCAAAACAACAUAAAACGUACAUUCUUCUUCACACGGAGAGUGAAUUCAGCACCAACUCAAGCACAUAAUUCUUCCCGGCAUGGAAGGAGAUGCGGGACAUCUGCUCACCCCAGAUCUACAAAACAAUGUGGUACACGAGGUAACUCAGGGAGGAAGACUCCUAUGAGGCUCCUCACAUCACACAUCUGAGCAGAGAGGCAAAAAUACAAGUCACAUCAGAGGUAAAGCACCUAGAAUUAGCUUAGUUGUUGUUGUUUUUUAAUCUGUUUGUUUUUUGUCUGUCCCCUUGAGAUUGAAGGCUGCAAGAGACCAGUAUGGCCUGUUCAAGCUGUCUCCCUGAGCUCAGAUAAGCCUGGCAUAUAGUGGACACUCAAUAGAUAUGUGUUAUUUGAAUCAAGUAUUUUAUCUACUUUGAAUCAUGAAAACCAUGAAAAUGAAGAAAGUAAAUGUUUCCUUCUUACUCUCACUACAAAGAAAUGGGAUUACACAGAGUGUUUUUCUCCUAAAUUCCAUGGACAAGUUCUUGCACACGGAAGGGCACGUAGUCUAUUUUCUGCGUACAUUCUGCAGGCAUCCUCCCCAGCCUGGGCCCUUUCAACAUCUCUCCCGUCACAUUCGGGAGUGAUCUCUUGGAGCAGACAGGCUUCCACACAGACCUCCCACCUGGCUCCCCCAUGCUCUCAUCUGGUGUGGCUCCAGCUCUAUUCCAGAUUCCCAAGGACAGUGGUUCUCAAGCACUAGUACACAUCAGAAUACCACCUGCAGCGUUU
rnacentral:lncRNA from 1 species